rnacentral:rRNA from 1 species
GACGAACGCUGGCGGCGUGCUUAACACAUGCAAGUCGAACGGAAAGGCCCUGCUUUUGUGGGGUGCUAGAGUGGCGAGCGGGUGAGUAACACGGGAGUAACCUGCCCUUUACUUUGUGAUAACUUCAGGAAACUGGGGCUAAUACCGGAUAGGAGCUCCUGCUGCAUGGUGGGGGUUGGAAAGUUUCGGCGGAUGGGGAUGGACUCGCGGCUUAUCAGCUUGUUGGUGGGGUAGUGGCUUACCAAGGCUUUGGCUGGUAGCCGGCCUGAGAGGGUGAACGGCGACAUUGGGACUGAGAGACGGAGCAGACUCCUACGGUAGGCAGUAGUGGGGAAUAUUGCACAAUGGGCCGAAGUCUGAUGCAGCAACGCCGGGUGCGUGAUGACGGCCUUGUGGUUGGAAACCGCUUUCGCCUGUGACGAAGCGUGAGUGACGGUAAUGGGUAAAGAAGCACCGGCUAACUACGUG